GAGAAAGAAGCAUAAUUGGUCUAAUGCGGUUGGCUUGAAACCAAUGUAUGAGGGUUCGAUUCCUUCCUUUCUUG
rnacentral:tRNA from 1 species